GGGGACAUAGCUCAACAGGGAGAGCGCUACGCAUGAGAUUAGACUGCGGGAUCGCUCCCGCCUCAGCUCAUAACUCUUGCGUAGAGGUUGAAGGUUCAAGUCCUUCUGUCUCCG
rnacentral:tRNA from 1 species